rnacentral:rRNA from 1 species
UACGAAGGGUGCAAGCGUUAAUCGGAAUUACUGGGCGUAAAGCGUGCGUAGGUGGUCUUUUAAGUCCGUUGUGAAAGCCCUGGGCUCAACCUGGGAAUGGCAGUGGAUACUGGAAGGCUGGAGUACGGUAGAGGAGGGUGGAAUUCCCGGUGUAGCGGUGAAAUGCGUAGAGAUGCGGAGGAACACCGAUGGCGAAGGCAGCCCCCUGGGCUAACACUGACGCUCAGGCACGAAAGCGUGGGGAGCAAACAGG